rnacentral:rRNA from 1 species
UACGGAGGGUGCAAGCAUUAAUCGGAUUUACUGGGCGUAAAGGGCGCGUAGGCUGCCGAUCAAGUCAGAUGUGAAAUUCCAGAGCUCAACUUUGGAGCUGCAUCUGAAACUGGUUAGCUAGAGGGUAGACGGAGAAAACGGAAUUCCACAUGUAGCGGUGAAAUGCGUAGAUAUGUGGAGGAACACCGGUGGCGAAAGCGGUUUUCUAGUUUAUACCUGACGCUGAGGCGCGAAAGCGAGGGGAGCAAACAGGAUUAGAUACCCUUGUA